rnacentral:rRNA from 1 species
AUUGAACGCUGGCGGCAGGCCUAACACAUGCAAGUCGAACGAGUGGCGGACGGGUGAGUACUGUCUGGGAAACUGCCUGAUGGAGGGGGAUAACUACUGGAAACGGUAGCUAAUACCGCAUACCAUCGGAUGUGCCCAGAUGGGAUUAGCUAGUAGUUGGGGUAAAGGCGCACCUAGGCGACGAUCCCUAGCUGGUCUGAGAGGAUGACCAGCGACACUGGAACUAGGACACGCUCCAGACUCCUACGAGAGGCAGCCGUGGGGAAUAUUGCACAAUGGGCGCAAGCCUGAUUCAGCAAUGCCGCGUGUAUGAAGAAGGCCUUCGGGGUGUAAAGUACUUUCAGCGGGGAGGCGUUACUCGCAGGAGAAGCACCGACUAACUCCGUGCCAGCAGCCGCGGUAAUAC